CCCUUUAUGACCUCAUAGAAUUUCCCCACGCCUGAUUGGCUGAUGCGCCUACAUUAAAGGCUUCCUAUUCUAAAUGUUUCUGGGGGAGAAAUUGUUUUUAAGGCAGCAGCAUGGCCCUUCCAGGCGCUUUCUAUGUGCUUCUCUUGGGAACCCUCUUCCUCUCUUUAGUCUUUUUAUUUCAGGAUAUUUUCAGUUGUGAGGAACCAGCUCUCACAAUUGUUGUUUUUCGUACAAGAGAAAAGGAAGGAGAGCAACUUUUGAUGGGCACACCAUCUAACAGUCUUUAUAGCUCAGCCUGUCAAAUAUGUCACAGUAUUUCUGACCUAGUCUUUUCCAAAAGGUGCCUAGAGAAGUUGGCUGCUAUUGGUACAGAGCUACUCAUUACAAUUAUUGUUUUUUUAAUAUUCCGCCUUUUAAUGCGACACAUUAAAAACACCAAGCCCAGUCAGGACAAGACCGAGAUUGUACUUGCUUCAGGACCAAAUAACGAAUCGAUCAAGAAGAUUCAAGAAUUGCUUGCAGAGUUGGUGAAAAACAACCACAAGAUCAGCAAAUACAUGAAGUUGUAUGUUAUAGCAUCUUAUAGGAGAGAAAUGAAAUCUAAAUUAAGCUCAAGAAGAGAGUGAACGUUUCCUCCCACUGUGUUCCUGCCAAGAUUCCUGUUAAGACAGUGCAUGAUUCCUGUCUAAGCAUAUGUGUCCUUCAUCAUUAAAAACUUUUGUCAUCUUGACCAUA